GGAAGGCUCUCUUUCUGGAGAUCCUUCUUCUGUGUAAUCUUUCCUGUGAUCCUAGAUCUUUGGAUACAGGUGACUGGGUGGAUUGCAGAGAAUUGCGAAGGUAAGAAGUUACUGUGAAAGAAGAGGAUUUACUCCAUCGCACGCCUGUUUAGCGUUGUAUUCUCUACUUUAAUCAGAUUCAGAUGUCUUCAAAAUGUUGUUCAGAUUCAUGAGAUGGUCUUCUGCUUGAUUUUGCCAGGGUGGAAUUGAAGAAAAAAUGUCCACUUUGGAGGAACUGAUGCACCUAACCAUCACACAAUGAACUGGCGACCUUUACCGGAACAUCUGCUUCAAGUACAAAAGGGGCAAUUUACAACAAUCUUUGUGUAACCAAAUUAUCCUUGUUAGAUGGUAUGGUUGUGUGAGACCUGAUUAAGGGAAUGUUGGACAGUAAUGUUGGUACCAACUUUAAAGGCACAACUAGCCUUCUCUGAUCUGCCUGUUGAAUAGACAGAACGAGGCCAUAGUCAGUCUAAUCUAUGGAAUACUUGGAAUAAUAUAUGCAAAAAUCUAUGAAGUGUCAGGAAAGAGCCAAUAUACUUGACUUCUCUGGAUUGGUAAAAAGAAUGCAAAGAAGAAAUUUUAGCAUCUUUAGCAAAGGAAAGGCUGUAGUAGAAUAUGUUGUAUCUCGUGUGGCAGCAGUCAGCAUGUUAUGUGUAUAGUUGUGUCUUACAAUUGUAAAAUAAGCACUUAUUGGAUUUUGAGAAGAACCUGAGAGUAUUGAGCUUUAUAAGACUCAGCGUUAUCAAUUUCUUCAACAGAGGUUUGGUUUAUUUUGUUUUGCUUUUAAAUAAAAGUCAAUAGUCUCUAAGGUCCGUUUCAAUACAGAAACAAAGAAAAAUCUUAUUCUGUUGUGCUUUUCAUGAUAGAAAACUAAUUCCUACUAAUAUUGCUCUUAUCCCAACUGUAACUUCAAGCAAGAUAGAUGAGAUAAAUAUGUUGACUUGUGUAAUGUGAUUCAAGAUGCCAAAAGCAGUGCAGGAGAUGUGGGAUAUAGCACCUAGAUGUCUGGAUAUAUCCUCCCUUCUGGUACUCACCUUUACUCCUCACAUAAUGGGAUAUUUCCAGGGGAACCUAUAUCUUCUCAUACUAACAGAAAAUAACUAAUGAGGUUCAGAAAAUGACUUUCUAUUUAGGAAUCUGUCACAUCAAACAGAUUUUUAAAAAUGAUGUAUUUAAGAUUGGAUAAUAAUCAUUUGAAUAAUAUGAAUCUCAUGCAGAGAUAGAUCAGUGAAGAAUGAAGGCCAGACAAUGAAAUUCAGUUUGUGCAUUUGUGAAACAGACACUUUUGGCUUCUCUUCCCUUACCUUUUCAUCUGAAUUCUGAUGGCUUAGAUUUGUAUGAAAGUGUCAAUCUGCUUUUCACUGUGAGGGAGGACUGUUUGUUUCCAAAGAACAAUUGUCUCACUCCAAUUUAUAGAAGGGAGAGGAGAUUCUUUUAAUAUGUGUAUACCCCACGAUGAGACUAAAACACAAUGAGGCACCUACAGAAUACCUCAGUAAGUAUCCAUUACAGUGUAUUUUGACUAUGCAGUGAAAGAUUGUGUUGGAUUUAGUCAAUUCGUAGGCGCAGAUGGAGAUACACACUGUGUACUGCUUUGCCUUAGAAGUGUCAAUUCCUUCUAAGUGUGGCAAUUCGGUGCAUGCAAACUAUAUAUCAGAUUAGAAAACAGUAUGAAUUUGGAAAAGAACAAAAAGAACAAACAGGUACCUUCAAAUUAGGCAGGUGCUGUGUUAAAACUUUCAGGAAUGUAGCUUUGGAUUUGUUAUUUCCAUCAUAAUUUUCAAGUGGGUGCCCUGGAUUACUGGAACUAGAUUCUCUGAUAGUUCAGGCCUACAAUCUGUAUUUUAAUGUCAAAAUGCUUAGACCCAAGUUAAUCUAAACCAGGAUCUUUUUAUUUCCUGAAUACUGUUUCAUGUUUUCUGUUAGAUAUGUACCUCAUCAUGGCUCUUGAUGAUGUCCUGGGAAAUUAAAAGCCAAAAUUGCUGAGUUCAUAUUGGUGUAAUGUGCCGUUUAAGAUAUUUCAUCUUCUGCAUAUGAAGCAAACCAGACUUUCCAAACAAGGAAAGGAGAGGAAAAGGAGAAGAUAUUAAUUUGAAUCUUACUAAGAAACUCAGGUGAAUAAGUGUGUCAGUCAGAAAAGGGCAAAAUUAAUGGGGAAAGACAUUGGAUAUUCGAGCU